CCUACGGGAGGCAGCAGUGGGGAAUAUUGGACAAUGGGGGCAACCCUGAUCCAGCCAUGCCGCGUGUGUGAAGAAGGCCCUCGGGUUGUAAAGCACUUUCAGUGAGGAAGAACGCCUGGUGGUUAAUACCCAUCAGGAAAGACAUCACUCACAGAAGAAGCACCGGCUAACUCCGUGCCAGCAGCCGCGGUAAUACGGAGGGUGCGAGCGUUAAUCGGAAUUACUGGGCGUAAAGCGCGCGUAGGUGGCUUGAUAAGCCGGUUGUGAAAGCCCCGGGCUCAACCUGGGAACGGCAUCCGGAACUGUCAAGCUAGAGUGCAGGAGAGGAAGGUAGAAUUCCCGGUGUAGAGGUGAAAUGCGUAGAGAUCGGGAGGAAUACCAGUGGCGAAGGCGGCCUUCUGGACUGACACUGACACUGAGGUGCGAAAGCGUGGGUAGCAAACAGGAUUAGAUACCCGAGUAGUC
rnacentral:rRNA from 1 species